UUAACUAGAAGGAAAUUGGUUUGUGAAUGUUUACAAUAAAUUGAAUAUUUAAUACGAGACUAGUUAGUCGUAUGGGGUGUAAUGAAUUACUCUUGGCUGUUAGAUCGGUUUUCCUAGAAGAAGAUCCAACGGUUUAGGAUUAGUUUCAUAGUGAUUUUUAAUGAUUAAAGUUCUCUCAUCACCUUUUAUUCAUCAUUAUUUAAUACUUUCAAUAUGUAAAUAUAUAAAAAAAUAUAGACAUUAAAAUAAAAUAUUUUUUUUCUUUUUAUUUUGACAUCCAUAUGUAUAUAUAUUAUAAUACUUCAAUUUUUUUAGUUUGGUACAUAUAUUAACAUCGUGGACAGUUUUCAGGUGGAUAUAUAUGUUGUGGACAAGAGUCACGUGAAUGUCUUUUUUAUAAACAAGUUUGUGGUGGACGCGUUCUUAUGGACAAGCUCUUACAAUUAUAGUUGUGUAACUAUGAUUUUUUUGUGAGCAUGUUAUUCUAGACGAAGCUCUUGUUUGAAGUUAAUUUAUCUAGG
rnacentral:lncRNA from 1 species